CAACACCAGAAUCAGAAACACAUUAUGGAUUGGAGGUAACGCACUCACACCAUUGCACUGGAAUGAUGCCGUUCCACUCAGUGGAGACACAGGAAAGAAUAUCUGGUGACUGUUUUCUACCCCCCCCCCCAAAAAAAGAAAAAAA